ensembl:misc_RNA Metazoa_SRP Metazoan signal recognition particle RNA
GCUUAGUGUGAUGGAUUAGUAUUCGCCUGUAGUCUCAGCUACUGAGGAGGCUGAGGUGGGAAGAUCGCUUGAGCCUGGGAGAUGGAGGUUGCAGUGAGCCAUGAUGAUGCCACUGCACUUCAGCCUGGGUGACAGAGCGAGACCCUGUCUCAAAAGUGAAAGUACCUGCGAGUGGGGGACCACCAGGUUGUCUAAGGAGGGGUGAAUCGGCCCAGGUUGGAAACCGAACAGAUCAAAACUCCCAUGCUGAGGAGUAGUGGGAUUGUACCUUUGAAUAGCCAUUGCAACAGCCUGAGCAACAUAGUGAGACUCCGUUUCU